rnacentral:rRNA from 1 species
UACGUAGGGUGCAAGCGUUGUCCGGAAUUAUUGGGCGUAAAGAGCUCGUAGGCGGUCUGUCGCGUCGAAUGUGAAAACCCGGGGCUCAACCCCGGGCCUGCAUUCGAUACGGGCAGACUAGAGUUCGGUAGGGGAGUCUGGAAUUCCUGGUGUAGCGGCGAAAUGCGCAGAUAUCAGAAGGAACACCGGUGGCGAAGGCGGGACUCUGGGCCGAUACUGACGCUGAGGAGCGAAAGCGUGGGGAGCGAACAGG